CUCCAACUGGAAAUUUCAGACUUACUCCUAUGAUCUUGUGUUUUUCAAAAAGUUUAAAAUUUCACAUUGCUGCUAUGCUCCAUCCAGUGAAGACAAGGUUACCUGCCAGAAAUAAUCCGAAAGGCAAAUAGUACAGUUUUACCAGUUUCUCUGUUAUGUCAUUCAUUUCCAAGUAAAGAAUAGAUCAACAAAUAGACAAAAUCCUUUUUGUCCCCAGACAGAAGAAUUUAAAAGGUUAAUUUUAUACAUGUUGGUGGAUUUUUUUCCCCUAUAUGUGGUACAAACCACCCCCUAGAGGCAAAUUACUUAAAUCAACUCUCGUAACCACACAUACAUAUUCAUGCAGCCAGCAGUGGGAGGUGUGGAGGGCAGGGGACUCCAGGUGACUCAGUAUGUCUGGCAUCCGGGUCAGGAAUUUCAGUCGAUGGCAGAGGGAUUGCCACCAUCAUAGGUGCUGCGUAUGAACUGCCACCGAAUCACUGCAUGUGAUGUGUGCUGUGUGAGGUCCUUCCGGAUCUGUCUUGAGGCCAGGCAACCCUUAAUGUGAGGCAGCUUUAAUUUUUUCCAGCUCAUUCAGCAUGGACGGCCUGGAAGACUUGCUUUCCUGCUAGCUUCUUAGGUGUUUAACUCCUAGUUCGUUGUGGAAUUUAUAACCCAUAUCUUGGCAUUGCCAUUGGCAAAGAGGAAGAUUUCUUUGCAAAGAGGAAGAUGUUAAUCUUCAGGCCUAGAUUUUCUGGUUCAUUACAUCGUAUGACGUCAAUAGCGAAGGAACCAGAGAGCACAGGCCUCUGGGUCAGCGUCUGAACCAGCAGGAUGGAGCACUGGUACACAUCUGGCCUUGCCUCAGACCCACUGGAAUCAGCUUACCUUACCUCUUCAGUCUCAAGAGUCCCAUUUGCAAAAGAGAGCUUAUACUGUGUGCCUUGGCGGAAGGGCAAGCAAGCACAUGACAAAUUCUCAUAAACAACCUUGAUACAAACAUGCCAACUACAGAAGAAAUAUUGGGAGCUGGCACAGUCAUGAAUUCAAAGCUGAACCCUCAACUCUCCACAAUUGACCUAAGACUUAUGAUCGUCCAUUCUCUACUAUCCCUGCCCUCAAAAGAAGAUCUACAAUAUGAGGAAUAUUAAAGGUCAGUGAAUACAAUGAAGUAUAAACAAUGCAAUGCUAUCUGAAAUCUGCUUUAAAACAUCGAAGGAAAGAAAAGUAUGCAUAGUGGAUAAAUGAAACGAUUGACAAAUUGUAGAUAAUUGUGAAAGGUGGAUGACAGGCACAUGGGAGCUCAUCAUGCUUUUGUAUUCGUGUGAAAUUAAAUGUGUUUACAAAAUUUUUUACAAGUCAAAGUCAUAAGGAAUUACAGGCCAGAUAUGGUGGCUCAUGCCUAUAAUUCCAGCACCAUGGGAGGCUGAAGUGGAAGGAUUACUUCAGGCCAGAAGUUUGAAACCAGCCUGGGCAAUAUAG